UGCGAGUCUAGGUCGGCCAACCGAAAAGCGGGGAACCCUACCCGCCCCGGCUCGCAAGUUAAUUAGGGG
rnacentral:sRNA from 1 species